rnacentral:lncRNA from 1 species
UCCAUUUUCUCAUAUUAAUCUCAUUCCCUUCUAUCCUUUCCCCUAGCCCUCCCACUUCCUUCCCCUUUGCCCCUUUUCUUCCUAUUUCACAUUAAGAUGGAUCCACUGUUACCUCUGAGACUAAUGCUGAAUUUAUUCCCUGUCAGGGUAAAGGAAAUCUGAUUUGAUAUCUAUUAAAGAUAAUAGAGAUAGUUUCGUGGCAGGAUUUCUUCAGUGAUUAGAAAGUCAGAUGGACUAAGGUUUAACGUUUGAACUGCAGGACUAGAUUGCCGUCUCCUAAAUGUGGUGGAUUUGGGAACUGCUUCCCUUAGCUGGUAGCACUUCACCAGAGAACAUGCUGCUGAACGAAGGAACAGUGAAUGCAUGCAGGAUAUAACAAGCGACGGUUCAUACUGCUGUGUCUGGUGGAAGCCACUUAGCGCUAACCCUCCUCUCCCGUGGCCCUGAAAUUCUUCCUAUCAUUGUCAGCUGCCCCUCACAGCCUGCUGGGAAAGCGGUGGGGUUGGCCUGAAACGCCCACCGGGUGGAGACGACUGGUUUUUAAGCUGGGCCUUUUAGACCUCGCUGCUCCCCUGCUCCCAUCCGCGCCCACAGCACUGCCUGUGGCCAACGUCUUGUAACCUUUUGAAUCUAUUUCCUCAGCCCUAAAAGGAGAGGCAAUAAAAUAUCUACCUCGGAGGUUUGUAAAAGUAAAGGAAGAAGUGCGGGAAGUGUCCUAACAGUCACAUCCGUUACUGCCCUGUGAAUGUUCAGAGUCAUUGUCCAAAUCCGAGCAACUGCUGUGUGCUGUAGAAGACAAGGCCAGUCGGGAGUCCUCAAGCCUAUGCACACCAGAAAGGUGAUUCCUAACAUGACACUGCAGAAAUAUUGGGCUGAGGCUGACGGAUUUCAAGAACAAGAGCUGGAAAGAGUGACUAUUCACAAGAGUCCUGGUCUGACCACUGGGGCAUGAACUCAAUCCCUUCCUCACUCCGAAUGGUAAAAUAAAAGUUUUUUGUUAGCUGAGCAUGGUGGUACGUGCUUGUGAUCCCAUCACUCGGGGAGGCUGAGGCAGAUCACAAACUCAAGCCCAGCCUUGGUGAUUUAGUGGCUUACCAGGACUGUCUCAAAAUAAAGUGAUUAAUAAUAAUAAUCAUUUGAAAAGGGAGGUUGAGAUAUAGCUCAGUAUGAAGGGCCUGAGUUCAGUCCCUAGAACCAUCCAUAAAAAAAGAUGUCGCUAUUCAAUUUUGGGGAUGGAGAUGAAGGAGAUUAUAAAGAGGAAAUAGAUAAAAUGAAAAUGAAAAGCAUAAAAUCAUAGAGGAAG